rnacentral:rRNA from 1 species
AUGAGCAAUAGCGUGCCCCAGCCGUACGCGCCGCCAUGGAAGGCGGCGGACCCCAAGAACCAUUUCCAGGGGCAUGUCGACAUGGACGUUGAACCGGAGUACGCACAUCGCGGUGACGAGGUGCCGCGCGGGUGCCGUGGCAUCCGCCACGACGAUGACGACUGCCCCAACCGCCACGCCGUCGGCCAUAACGACGACGACUACAAUGACCGCCGCGAUGGAUUUCGACUGAAGCCACCCAAGCACGCAUUUUCUGUCUUCAAAGAGUACAAAGCUUGCUGGCUUCCCCUGCGUCCCAAGCAGAUUGAGGCUGCAGAUGCAGAUGAGGCUUUGGUUGUUCCUCUUGAUGGUGAAUGGAUAUGGCACUGCCAUCGGCUUAAUCCGACUCAAUACAUAAAGGGCUGCAAGAGAUUAUAUGGCAGAAUACUAGACAGUAACAAUGUCAAGUCCAUUCAAGCAAAAUCCAAGGAUCAGGUUGAGAAAGUUUGGACUGAGUUAUAUCCUGGGGAGCCCGUUGAGUUGGAGUGCACAAGUCCUUCCGAAGAUUCUAUUUAUCUGAGUGAUGAAACUGCAGGAGGCUUUUCCUAUGAUUUGGUCUCAGUUGUUAAGAGACAAUCUUCUUUCGUCUACCAGGUUAUGAUCUUAACUGGGGAAACUGGUUCUGGGAAAAGCACACAAUUGGUUCAGUAUCUUGCUAACUCAGGUCUGGCUGCCAAGGGUUGCCACCUGGGAAGUAUAGUGCUGCAAAUACUCCAUGACACUUCUGUUUGUAAGGUACCUUAUUCUGCUACACACCAGUGGGAUCCUGGACUUUCUUCUGAAAUAAUUCAUGUGCAUUCACUGGGUACUUUGCAACUCCUUGGACAUGAUUGGGUGCAGUACAUUGAGCUUGGAAGUGCAUUUAGUCUCAGCAUUACAACGGGUAUGCAGUUGUUGCAGUUAUUGUCGAGAGCGAUGCUACUUGGUGUCAUUCACUCCAAGUUGUGGUUAACUGAUGGAUGGUUAGAGACAAAUAGUGCUCACAAUUUUCCUUGCCUUCAGUUUAGGGAAUGGAGAUCCUUCUUACAACAUGGCAAAUAUACUGCUUCAUUGAUACUGCCUUGGAAUCCAGACGGUUGGAUGGCAUCUAGCACUACACUUUUGUUUUCUAUUGUAUGUAGUUUCUUGCAUUGGAACCCUGGUUUACUCUAA